rnacentral:rRNA from 1 species
GGAGGUUGGCUCAGAAGCAGCCAUCCUUGAAAGAGUGCGUAAUAGCUCACUGGUCGAGUGGUCGUGCGCCGACAAUGUAGCGGGGCUUAAGCGUGCCGCCGAAGCCGCGGACUCCUCCGUGAGGAGGGGUGGUAGGGGAGCGUCCUGCGUUGGGUGAAGCCCGGGAGUGAUCCUAGGGUGGACGGCGUGGGAGUGAGAAUGCAGGCAUGAGUAGCGAUGACUAGGGUGAGAGUCCCUAGCGCCGAAUGACCAAGGGUUCCAGGGCCAGGUGGAUCCGCCCUGGGUGAGUCGGGACCUAAGACGAGGCCGACAGGCGUAGUCGAUGGAUGACGGGUUGAUAUUCCCGUACCGGCGUAGGACCGCCCAUGCUGACGCGCGGGUGCUAACUCACGCCCGUGGUCGUUGAUUCGCUGGUGGCCGGUACCUUCGGGUCCGGGUGCUGGUGUCGACCAGGGUCUGGGGAUCCUCCGUGCAGGUAGGCAAGCGUAGUAACAGGGGUGACGCACAGUGGUAGCCUCGCGGGCCUAAUGGCUUGGCCCGUUCAAGCGCGCAGCCUCUCGCUCAGGUAAAUCCGGGCGAUCGCGUUAAUGACAUGGUUGUUGACGCGGGGGUGAGGCGUGAUGGUGACCCCGCUGUGAGCGGGGGAGAGCAGGGUGAUCCUGGGGUGCCGAGAAAAGCCUCGACGCGAUGGUGCUGGGCCGCCCGUACCCGAAACCGACACAGGUGGUCGGGCAGAGCAUGCCUAGGCGAACGAGUGAAUCAUGGUUAAGGAACUCGGCAAAAUGCCCCCGUAACUUCGGGAGAAGGGGGGCCUGAGCUUUGAAGCCCCUUCGCGGGCUAGGAGCAAGGGUCGCAGAGAACAGGGGGGAGCGACUGUUUACUAAAAACACAGGUCCGUGCGAAGCCGUAAGGCGAUGUAUACGGACUGACGCCUGCCCGGUGCUGGAAGGUUAAGAGGAACCAUCAACCCUCGGGUGAAGUGGUGAAUUUAAGCCCCAGUAAACGGCGGUGGUAACUAUAACCAUCCUAAGGUAGCGAAAUUCCUUGUCGGGUAAGUUCCGACCUGCACGAAUGGCGUAACGACUUCCCUACUGUCUCAACCAUGAGCUCGGCGAAAUUGCACUACGAGUAAAGAUGCUCGUUUCGCGCAGAAGGACGGAAAGACCCCGGGACCUUUACUACAGCUUGGUAUUGGCGCCCGCUAUAGCUUGUGCAGGAUAGGUGGGAGACUGUGAAGCCGUUACGCCAGUAGCGGUGGAGUCGUCCUUGAAAUACCACUCUGGUUAUGGCGUGCGCCUGAACCUGGGCCCGUGAUCCGGGUUAGGGACAGUGCCUGGUGGGUAGUUUAACUGGGGCGGUUGCCUCCUAAAGUGUAACGGAGGCGCUCAAAGGUUCCCUCAGCCUGGUCGGUAACCAGGUGUUGAGUGUAAGUGCACAAGGGAGCUUGACUGUGAGACUGACGGGUCGAGCAGGUACGAAAGUAGGAACUAGUGAUCCGGCGAUCCCGUGUGGGUGGGUCGUCGCUCAACGGAUAAAAGGUACCCCGGGGAUAACAGGCUGAUCCUGCCCAAGAGUCCAUAUCGACGGCAUGGUUUGGCACCUCGAUGUCGGCUCGUCGCAUCCUGGGGCUGGAGCAGGUCCCAAGGGUUGGGCUGUUCGCCCAUUAAAGCGGUACGCGAGCUGGGUUUAGAACGUCGUGAGACAGUUCGGUCCCUAUCCUCUGCGCGCGCAGGAGACUUGAGAAGGCCUGUCCCUAGUACGAGAGGACCGGGACGGACGAACCUCUGGUGUGCCAGUUGUCCCGCCCGGGGCACGGCUGGUUGGCUACGUUCGGGACGGGUAACCGCUGAAAGCAUCUAAGCGGGAAACCAUCUUCAAGACAAGGUCUCCACAAGAAGGACUCGUCCUUCUUGGUAGGCCCCCAGCAGACUACUGGGUUGAUAGGCCAGAAGUGGAAGACCGGUAACGGUUGGGAGCUGACUGGUACUAAUCGGCCGACACAAACAAC